rnacentral:rRNA from 1 species
GUGGGGAAUAUUGCACAAUGGGCGGAAGCCUGAUGCAGCAACGCCGCGUGCGGGAUGACGGCCUUCGGGUUGUAAACCGCUUUCAGCAGGGACGAAGCGCAAGUGACGGUACCUGCAGAAGAAGCACCGGCUAACUACGUGCCAGCAGCCGCGGUGAUACGUAGGGUGCGACCGUUGUCCGGAUUUAUUGGGCGUAAAGAGCUUGUAGGCGGUUGGUUGCGUCGAAAGUGCAAACUCAGGGCUUAACUCUGAGCCUGCUUUCGAUACGGGCUGACUGGAGGAAGGUAGGGGAGAAUGGAAUUCCCGGUGGAGCGGUGGAAUGCGCAGAUAUCGGGAGGAACACCAGUGGCGAAGGCGGUUCUCUGGACCUUUCCUGACGCUGAGAAGCGAAAGCGUGGGGAGCAAACAGGCUUAGAAACCCUAGUAGUCC